GUUUGACCAGCACUGGAAUUGGAAACUAGGUUUCGAAGAAGUCAAAUCGAAGUACAAUAUUGUAUUUUAAACUGCCUGUUGUUAUUACAUCCCUCACAACGCACGCUCUACUUGAAACUUCCAGUGGAUACCAACUGCACUUAGAAUAAAAAAUGAAACUCCUUGCCUAGCUCUGGGACCUCAUCAGCACAUACUCACCAUGUUUUGGUCACAAAGGCCUUCAUGCUGUUCCCGGAAGUCGCCAAGUUCCAUCCAUCAUUGUUAAUAAUUCCUUUUGCUCGCUCCUCGCACAAGAACUGUUUCUUCUGCUUAGUGCUUUGCCUACUGAUUCCAUCUUGUCAUUUAAGUCUCGGCUCACAUGUCACCUCUGCAAAGAACCCUUGCCUGACCAUACAUCUAAAAUAGCCACAAACACUCUAUAAAGACUUGGCCUUGCUUUAUUUCCUUCUCAGCACUCAUCACUGUCUGAAACAAUGUUUUGGAUUUGUUGCUUAUUAUCAGUCUCCCUUCUCAAGAAUGCAAGCUUUGUGAGAGCAGAGUCGUAAUCUUUUUUAAGGCUGUAUCCCCAAUGCCUGGAUUAUCAACUUCAGGCGAUGGGCCACGCACCAGGAUUCCACCUCUUUCUAGCACCUAUCAGUGUUGCGCACAUCACAGGCCCUCAACAAACAGGAGUUGCAGGUACCUCCCUAGACGCUGCCAUGGCACCCACAGAGUUUUGCUCCUGGUGGCGCCCAAAGGCACUCGCCCCGGCUCCUGCACCGCCCACCUGCGCUCCCCGUCCCACGAGGGGUAGAACGCAGUGGAUUUGAGUGAGUGGAAUUCACCCUGGCUGAAGCUCCUGCCUGGAUCCAGCGCCCGUGCACUCCAGUUCCCGCCCACGAAGGGGUCGGGGAAAUUUCCUGCUUCAUUAACAUAUAACUACUGACCUAAUGUAGGUUUGUUUGCUGUUGUGUUCUGUACGAUAACUUUGAAAAACGAUGUACCCUUCCAACACUUAAAAAUGUUAUCUCUAUAUCUAAAUUUCAAAUAUCUAAAAGUUUUAUACAUUUAAUAGUUGUAAAUGAUAUAAUUCCUGGCAUAUCAUAAAUAUUGACAUUUAAAACUCAUACUACAUUUUAAAAUGUGUCCAGUGGAAUGUGACUAUCAUGAGGA
rnacentral:lncRNA from 1 species